rnacentral:tRNA from 1 species
GCCUGGGUGGCCCAGAUGGUUGAGCAUCUGACUCCAGCUCAUAGGUCAGGUCAUAGUCUCAUGGUUUGUGAGUUCAAGUCCCACAUCAGGCU